rnacentral:lncRNA from 1 species
CUAUUUUAUCAAGAGACUUACCACUCCUUAAUCAUUUAUUACUCUAUUAAUAAGUAUUCAGAUUCUAGUUUUUUAUUCACUUAAAAAGCACUGUUAUUUAGCACAUACAAGACCUUAGGUAGACUCAGUCCCCUGUACUGAAAAAAACCCACUCUUAUAAGUAUAGUGAUAUAAAUUUUUGUAUACAUGUCCAAUGAUGCCCUUAAUAUAAAUUACUGAGUUUAAGGUUAUAAGUAUAACUUUUUAUAGCUUUAAUGAGGUAUAAUUUGCAUAGCAUAAGAUUCACCCCAUGUAAGUAUACAAUUCAAUGCUUUUAAUAAGUUUGUAUACCUAUGCAACCAUACCCACAACCCACUUUUAGAAUUUUUUUUUAUUGACCCCUAAAUAUUCUCUUGUGUUAUUUGUAAUUGAAUUCACUUGAUUCUAAUCCUGGGCAACACACAUCUACGUUCUGUCACUGUAGGUUUGCUUUUUUUAGAACAUGUUGUAUCAGCAGAAUCAAACACUAUGUAUUUUUUUAAUGGGUGGAUCCUUUCACUUCGCACAUUGUGUCUGUGGCCCAUUCAUGAUGUGGGAUGAAUCGGUUCUUUGUUGUGUGUCCUGCAGAGUAGCAUCUUCUUGCAUGGACACCAGGUUUUGUUUAGUCACUCACCUGUUGCUGGAAACUUGGGUUAUUUCCAGUUUUUGCCUAACUACGAAUAAUGCUGCUGUUAUAUUUACAUGUAAAUCUUCAUGUGGAUAUGUUCUCAAUUUCUUUUGUCAAAUGGUAAGUUAAUAUUUAACUUUUUCAGGAAGAAUCUGUGUUCCAAAGUAGUCGCACCAUGUCGCAUCCCCUCCAGCUGAGGUAUGAGGCUGCCACUGGCUUCACACCCCCGGCAGCACCCCCUCCACACCACACGGCUACUAGCUGGACGCCUCAGCUCUUUGCGACAUGGGUCUCUCCACGGCACAUCCCACGCCUCCCUGAGAGCAGACCAAAGGCUAGAGGACGCCAAAAAGAGAAGCUGCAGCCUUUUUGUAACCUGCCUUGCAGUGACAUUCCUGCAAUUUGUGUUCUUAUUAGAAGGAGUUGGUCACAAGACCCUGCCCACUUUCAAGGGGAGGAGAUCACACAGCUGUGCGAGUAGCAGGGGCCGGAGAUCACUGGGGCCAUGUCAGAAGGCUGCCACGGUACCCUUCCAGUUGGUCAUCUGCUGCUUUUCUCAGCAAAAGGCACUCUGCAGAUGGGACGAAGACUCUUGAGAUAUUCUGGGCAGGCCACAGGUAACCACACAGGUCCUUAUGAGCAGAUGAGGGAAUAUGGAGAGGCAGUGAGAUUUGAAGAUGCUGUGCUGGUAACUUUAAAGGCAGAGGAUGGGGCCAUGAGACAAGGAAAACAGGAAGUCCCUCGAAGGUGGAAAAGCAAGGGAAUGACUUUUCCCAGGCCUCCAGAAUGAAUGUAGCGCUGCUGACACCUUGAUUUUGGACCUCUGGCUUUAAAGUC